UGUGGCGGGAGUAUUCAGUCGGAGCGUCUUCGGCGCCGUGUCGGAAGAGUGGAAGCGAAGGUUCCCGUGACGGGGCCGUUCCGACUCGCGAUCCGGGGCGAACCGACGCAUUUGUUUCCCGCCCGAAGGACGCCGCAACCGGUUGGGGGACGGCCUUAAGGGCGAGAGCCGGCAGGUGGCCGGUGGCUGCGCUUGUCGCGGUCGCCGGUUGUUAGCCUUCUCGUCGCACGGCCCGUUCCCCGACCGUGGCAAUAGAGAGGCCUCGUUGGGUUUCGUCGUCUCCUCCUUCACUGGUGGCGGGUGAAUAAGCGCGGCAGGAGUUCCGGUCGGCGGUGGGCGCACGGACAUACUCCGUGGCCAGGCCCCGCCCGGUCUCUGCUGGCUGCGCAAGGCCCGCGGGAGUGUGUGACGGUUGGCGGCGAGUAGAUCGGUCACCCACCCGACCCGUCUUGAAACACGGACCAAGGAGUAU
rnacentral:rRNA from 1 species